rnacentral:rRNA from 1 species
CAGUCGAACGACUUCCGUUAUUGAUUAUGACGUACUUGUACUGAUUGAGAUUUUAACACGAAGUGAGUGGCGAACGGGUGAGUAACACGUGGGUAACCUGCCCAGAAGUAGGGGAUAACACCUGGAAACAGAUGCUAAUACCGUAUAACAGAGAAAACCGCAUGGUUUUCUUUUAAAAGAUGGCUCUGCUAUCACUUCUGGAUGGACCCGCGGCGUAUUAGCUAGUUGGUGAGGUAAAGGCUCACCAAGGCAGUGAUACGUAGCCGACCUGAGAGGGUAAUCGGCCACAUUGGGACUGAGACACGGCCCAGACUCCUACGGGAGGCAGCAGUAGGGAAUCUUCCACAAUGGACGCAAGUCUGAUGGAGCAACGCCGCGUGAGUGAAGAAGGGUUUCGGCUCGUAAAGCUCUGUUGUUAAAGAAGAACGUGGGUAAGAGUAACUGUUUACCCAGUGACGGUAUUUAACCAGAAAGCCACGGCUAACUACGUGCCAGCAGCCGCGGUAAUACGUAGGUGGCAAGCGUUAUCCGGAUUUAUUGGGCGUAAAGCGAGCGCAGGCGGUCUUUUAAGUCUAAUGUGAAAGCCUUCGGCUCAACCGAAGAAGUGCAUUGGAAACUGGGAGACUUGAGUGCAGAAGAGGACAGUGGAACUCCAUGUGUAGCGGUGAAAUGCGUAGAUAUAUGGAAGAACACCAGUGGCGAAGGCGGCUGUCUGGUCUGCAACUGACGCUGAGGCUCGAAAGCAUGGGUAGCGAACAGGAUUAGAUACCCUGGUAGUCCAUGCCGUAAACGAUGAUUACUAAGUGUUGGAGGGUUUCCGCCCUUCAGUGCUGCAGCUAACGCAUUAAGUAAUCCGCCUGGGGAGUACGACCGCAAGGUUGAAACUCAAAAGAAUUGACGGGGGCCCGCACAAGCGGUGGAGCAUGUGGUUUAAUUCGAAGCUACGCGAAGAACCUUACCAGGUCUUGACAUCUUCUGACAGUCUAAGAGAUUAGAGGUUCCCUUCGGGGACAGAAUGACAGGUGGUGCAUGGUUGUCGUCAGCUCGUGUCGUGAGAUGUUGGGUUAAGUCCCGCAACGAGCGCAACCCUUAUUACUAGUUGCCAGCAUUAAGUUGGGCACUCUAGUGAGACUGCCGGUGACAAACCGGAGGAAGGUGGGGACGACGUCAAAUCAUCAUGCCCCUUAUGACCUGGGCUACACACGUGCUACAAUGGAUGGUACAACGAGUCGCGAGACCGCGAGGUUAAGCUAAUCUCUUAAAACCAUUCUCAGUUCGGACUGUAGGCUGCAACUCGCCUACACGAAGUCGGAAUCGCUAGUAAUCGCGGAUCAGCAUGCCGCGGUGAAUACGUUCCCGGGCCUUGUACACACCGCCCGUCACACCAUGAGAGUU